AACAGAUAUGGCGACAUGGUGCCAAAGACGAUCGCCGGUAAGAUAUUUGGCUCCAUUUGCUCCCUCAGCGGCGUGCUGGUGAUCGCCCUGCCCGUCCCCGUCAUCGUGUCCAAC
rfam:Takifugu rubripes chromosome, Chr_19